rnacentral:rRNA from 1 species
CGGCAUCUCUAAUCUAACACCAAGCGAAUCAUCGAGUCUUUGAACGCAAACGGCACCCUUCCAGUCCAUUCCAAAGCGGUGGCCGAGGAUGAAGACAAGGGUAUCUCUGGCUGAGGGCAACGA